rnacentral:rRNA from 1 species
AUGGGAUCGCAUCAAUUUCUGGCAUACCUGCUCUUAUUUUUUCUAGAAAGAUUUUUUUGCAGUAAUGAAACUUUUGUUGUCUUUGUAACUUUGACUGUUCUCCCCAUCUAUAUUAUAAAGUUGUACAACCGAAUGUCUGUAACUUCAGUCAGAGCGAGAUUAUCUAUUGAGGAACUGGUGUUGUACAACUUUAUAUUAUCAUCUGCUCAUGUUUAUAUAGUAUCAAGUGGAGUCCACGAGCAUCUUAAAGAAGCUUGGUCUGACCGUGGGCAUUUUUGUGGAUCACCGCCGCAAGAACAUGUCACUGGAGGUAUGCAGUCUAAUGUCCAGAGGCUCAAGAUACAAGACCAAGCUUGUUAUCUUCCCAAGCUGUGCUUGCAUGGUCAAGGCAUUCUACUCCAGAUGAGUUUGCAACGGCCAUCACUCGUAGGGGCCCAGAAGCACUUGGUCGAAGUUGUGAAGGAUAUAGUUAAGGUUUAG